GGAGCACUGUCAGGAACCAAAGGAGAUGAGGAAGCGGUGACGUCGUCUCGCUUCCUAGGUGACGCUGUAACUCGGUUUCCGAUCGAGCUUGAGUGGCGUAGCUCCGCCAUUGCUCGCUUCGGACUGAACGCCAGUUUGCUUCACCGUACUCCGGCGAGUAGUUAACGUUGACGGGGUAAGUGAGAAUUUUCUAGAAUUUCGGCUCCGGCAACGGCUAUAUUAUCAGUCAGUGUGUAAAAGAGUGCUGAGUUUCC
rnacentral:misc_RNA from 1 species